rnacentral:misc_RNA from 1 species
ACGAAUAGAACCAAGCGACCUUGGCUGAUGCUGGCUCCUCGGAGCAUGUGCACGCCCUGGCUCGUGCCUUCAAUUCGCUUCACCCCCCUUGUGCACUCUAUGUAGGUCGUCAAUGUUGGCGCCUAUGACUUUUCGUCUUUGUACGCACCCUGAUUGCAUGUAAAAGCGCAGCUUUAUUUGAUAACACAAAAUA